rnacentral:misc_RNA from 1 species
UGACCGUUGAUGUUCUCGACGGCGGGCAUGGGGUAGGGAAUCGGGUUGGAGCCCGCGCCCAUUGAAAUUGCGAUCGGCAUCGGCGAGAGCAUGUGCGCCGCGUCGUAUUCCUUGUUGAUGGUCUUGUCGCGGAUCACCGCCCAGCCGGCGGUCUUGAUCACUUCGACAUUGAGGCCCUGCUUCUCGUAGAAGCCCAUCGGCUUCGCCAUGAUGAUGGGCGUGGCGCAUGUGAUCGGGAUGAACCCGACCUUGAGAUCUUUUUUUUCCAGCGGUGCGCCCUGCGCAAACACUUCGGUGGCGGUCUUCAAGGGGAAGAACUGUGAGACGGCGGCGACGGCUGUUG